rnacentral:misc_RNA from 1 species
AAGUCGUAACAAGGUUUCCGUAGGUGAACCUGCGGAAGGAUCAUUUCCAAAAAGCAACUGUGCCUUAAAUAUACACCUUUUGGUGUGUGAAAUGUAAUGGAAUUGGUAAAAAAAAUCAAUUUUACUCUCUCUUCUAAUUUGCUCUGCAUCGCGUAUGCAGGCAUUUUUUAGUAAGAGAGAGGCCUUGAUGAACCCACAUCCUUUAAAGACUUUACAUUUUUACAAUGUUUAGUAUCUUUUUAAGGACGUUAACAAAAAGUCUCGAUAUGUUUCCAAGUAAAAAAAGAGAAAGAGUUAAUGUAUUAGCAGUGUCACACUACUAUACAACAACAAAUUACUCUAUACACAAGUAAAUAUACAGACAACUUUUAACGGUGGAUCUCUUGGCUCGU